GUGGGGAAUAUUGGACAAUGGGCGAAAGCCUGAUCCAGCCAUGCCGCGUGUGUGAAGAAGGUCUUCGGAUUGUAAAGCACUUUAAGUUGGGAGGAAGGGCAGUAAGUUAAUACCUUGCUGUUUUGACGUUACCGACAGAAUAAGCACCGGCUAACUUCGUGCCAGUAGCCGCGGUAAUACGAAGGGUGCAAGCGUUAAUCGGAAUUACUGGGCGUAAAGCGCGCGUAGGUGGUUUUGUAAGUUGGAGGUGAAAUCCCCGGGCUCAACCUGGGAACUGCCUCCAAAACUGCAUGACUAGAGUACGGUAGAGGGUAGUGGAAUUUCCUGUGUAGCGGUGAAAUGCGUAGAUAUAGGAAGGAACACCAGUGGCGAAGGCGACUACCUGGACUGAUACUGACACUGAGGUGCGAAAGCGUGGGGAGCAAACAGGAUUAGAAACCCGAGUAGUCC
rnacentral:rRNA from 1 species